rnacentral:rRNA from 1 species
UUCGAGAGCCCCGAGCGUUAUCCGGAAUUAUUGGGCGUAAAGGGUGUGUAGGCGGUUGUGUUAGUCGUUUGUUAAAUCCUCGGGCUUAACCCGAGAAUCGCGGACGAAACGGCACAACUAGAAAGUGUGAGGGGUGUACAGAACUCAUGGUGUAGGGGUGAAAUCCGUUGAUAUCAUGGGGAAUACCAAAAGCGAAGGCAGUACACUGACACAUAUUUGACGCUGAAACACGAAAGCGUGGGUAGCGAAUGGG